GACGAACGCUGGCGGCGUGCUUAACACAUGCAAGUCGAACGGAAAGGCCCCCACCUUGGUGGGGGUGCUCGAGUGGCGAACGGGUGAGUAACACGUGGGUGAUCUGCCCUGUACUUCGGGAUAAGCUUGGGAAACUGGGUCUAAUACCGGAUAGGACCAUGGUUUAGUGUCUCAUGGUGGAAAAAUUAUUGUUUUGGUGCAGGAUGAGCUCGCGGCCUAUCAGCUUGUUGGUGGGGUAAUGGCCUACCAAGGCGUCGACGGGUAGCCGGCCUGAGAGGGUGGACGGCCACAUUGGGACUGAGAUACGGCCCAGACUCCUACGGGAGGCAGCAGUGGGGAAUAUUGCACAAUGGGCGCAAGCCUGAUGCAGCGACGCCGCGUGGGGGAUGACGGCCGUCGGGUGGUAAACUCCUUUCGUUAGGGACGAAGCCACACCUUUUUUGGGUGUGGUGACGGUACCUUUGUUAAGAAGCACCGGCUAACUACGUG
rnacentral:rRNA from 1 species